rnacentral:rRNA from 1 species
GGUAGAGGAGCGUCGUGUAAGCCGAUGAAGGUGGAUUGAGAAGUCCGCUGGAGGUAUCACGAGUGCGAAUGCUGACAUGAGUAACGACAAGGGGAGUGAAAAACUCCCCCGCCGGAAGACCAAGGGUUUCUGUUCGACGCUAAUCGGAGCAGAGUGAGUCGGCCCCUAAGGCGAGGCCGAAAGGCGUAGUCGAUGGGAAACGGGUCAAUAUUCCCGUACCUCACUGUAUUGCGAUGGGGGGACGAAGAAGGCUAGGUGGGCCAGGCGUUGGUUGUCCUGGUGAAAGCUUGUAGGCCAGCGAUUCAGGUAAAUCCGGAUCGCUCUCUUCAGUGAGAAGGCCGAGAAGCGAGACGAACACCCCACGGGGUGGAAGUCAUCGAUGCCACGCUUCCAGGAAAAGCCUCUAAGCUUCAGAUACAGUGGGACCGUACCCCAAACCGACACAGGUGGUCAGGUAGAGAAUACCCAGGCGCUUGAGAGAACUCGGGUGAAGGAACUAGGCAAAAUGGUGCCGUAACUUCGGGAGAAGGCACGCCGGCGUAGGGUGAAGGCACUUGCUGCUGGAGCUCGAACCGGUCGAAGAUACCAGGUGGCUGCAACUGUUUAUUAAAAACACAGCACUCUGCAAACGCGUAAGCGGACGUAUAGGGUGUGACGCCUGCCCGGUGCCGGAAGGUUAAGUGAUGGUGUUAGCCCUCGGGCGAAGCUCUUGAUCGAAGCCCCGGUAAACGGCGGCCGUAACUAUAACGGUCCUAAGGUAGCGAAAUUCCUUGUCGGGUAAGUUCCGACCUGCACGAAUGGCGUAAUGAUGGCCACGCUGUCUCCACCCGAGACUCAGUGAAAUUGAAAUCGCAGUGAAGAUGCUGUGUACCCGCGGCUAGACGGAAAGACCCCGUGAACCUUUACUAUAGCUUCACACUGGACGCUGAUGUUGCUUGUGUAGGAUAGCUGGGAGGCUAGGAACCCCGGACGCCAGUUCGGGCGGAGCCAACCUUGAAAUACCAGCCUGGCAUCAUUGGCGUUCUAACUCAGGUCCGUGAUCCGGAUCGAGGACAGUGUGUGGUGGGUAGUUUGACUGGGGCGGUCUCCUCCCAAAGAGUAACGGAGGAGCACGAAGGUACCCUCAGCACGGUCGGAAAUCGUGCAUUGAGUGCAAGAGCAUAAGGGUGCUUAACUGCGAGACAGACACGUCGAGCAGAUACGAAAGUAGGUUCUAGUGAUCCGGUGGUUCUGUAUGGAAGGGCCAUCGCUCAACGGAUAAAAGGUACUCCGGGGAUAACAGGCUGAUACCGCCCAAGAGUUCACAUCGACGGCGGUGUUUGGCACCUCGAUGUCGGCUCAUCACAUCCUGGGGCUGAAGUCGGUCCCAAGGGUAUGGCUGUUCGCCAUUUAAAGUGGUACGCGAGCUGGGUUUAGAACGUCGUGAGACAGUUCGGUCCCUAUCUGCCGUGGGCGUUGGAUGUUUGAGAAGAGCUGCUCCUAGUACGAGAGGACCGGAGUGGACGCACCUCUGGUGUUCCGGUUGUCACGCCAGUGGCACUGCCGGGUAGCUACGUGCGGACGGGAUAACCGCUGAAGGCAUCUAAGCGGGAAGCCCCCUUCAAGAUGAGACAUCCCCGAGGCCUCGAGCCUCCUGAAGGGCCCAGCAAGACCAGCUGGUUGAUAGGCCGGGUGUGGAAGCGCUGCAAGGCGUUGAGCUAACCGGUACUAAUGGCCCGUGAGGCUUGACCAUAUAACCCCAAGGGGU